rnacentral:misc_RNA from 1 species
GUAUGAUCAGAAGAAAGACGAAGCAAAUGAACUACGUAGAAUAUUUAUAGCUCAAGUGCGAACAAGAGGACAGUCAAGUGAGAAAUACAGUUUACCAGAUGAUGCAGGUUAACUACUAGGCACCGUUCUCGACAUACAGUGUUUUCCUGACAGUCAAGUUAACGCAAUAGAACAUGCAUGCCUGGGAUCAGAAAUCACACAUCACCAGCCAUCAUUGCAGAUCUUUUUUUUCCUUGAUACAACACGGGGGAAUACGAUAAAAUCAGUGCAAAAAACAGGAGCUAUUUUGCCCAUUGCAAAAACAAAGUGAGGUUGGACCAUAUUAGCACCAUUCCAACUAGAUCAAUCGCAAAAUUUCAAGGCGUCAAAAGAAUCAAGACAAAUGCAGCAAGUGCUCCCUGAUGCCUCAUCUCGUUAGCUUACAUCUUCUGUCAUUUCUGUGUCCACUGCCAUUAUAAUUUCCAUGUCUCUCAUAUCUCGCUUCAAUACAUUGCCAAGUCUUGCUAUGGCUUCUGUCUGCUGUUGUAAAACCUCCUGCAUAUUAGCAAGACUAUGAUCAUGUAUUUUGGUUGAUCCUGGAAGGUAAAUAGAACCACCAACUCCAAUUGCAUUUGCUUGAACACGAGAUACAGUGAGUAGGUUUUGAACCCUCCGAGAAAGUUCAGCUCCAGAUCCUUUCAGCUGUCUGGUUAUUGCAGCCAACUUCUCAGCCAAUUCAGCUUCCCCUUUCAUUAAGGGCAUUCGGUAACCCUUACCCUCCAAUGCCUCCAUUAUUCUCAUUAUCCUUAAAAGGCGACGCCUUUGAAGACUCUGCUCUUUUUGCCUCAUUCUUUCAAUCCAGGGAAGAGUCUCAGCUUGAAAAUGCCUUUGAAGCAUCUUUACAUUGCUUUGGGUCAUUCGCAAUCGCUC